UGUGCUUUGAGCCGGCCUACCCCUUGGGUGGACUUGCUCUUAUGCAAAUACUACUUGACCGCGCUAGGGUUUAUAGGAACUAAAUAUCUUGCAGCCACGCCUUGAGUUCCCGAACUGCGAAGGGAUAAGGGUCGCCCCACGCCAUUAAAGCUUUACAUCUUCUAUCCUUAGUGUGUGGAACAUGCUGCAUGCACAUACAUAUAUAAUAUAUAAGAUCUUCAUAGGGCCAUGUGUCCCAAACAAGGGCUAUGUGUUCGAUUCCCACGUGUGAUGUGGGACCAAAUUCCUCACUCUUCUGUCAAAGAUUUUUUAUUUGAUUUUCUUUAUUUUUCUAGUUGUGUCUCAAAUAAAAAAGUGUGCAAAUUGUUAUGAUACAAAAUUACAAAUGAAGGGCAAAGCCCUAUAUAUGCAUGCACUUUUUCCCCUUUGUUUUGAAGCUUAGUACUAUAUGGUCUCACAUAUAUAGCACGCGUUUGGGCAAUGCUUCUGCAUCCUCUUGCAUGCGGAUUAGGUGCUAGGGUAGCGACACACCUAUACUCUCUCUAUCCAUACUCAUGGGGUAUGGGAUCCUCUUUUUCGACACUUCUUGCAUCAAAAGCAAGAAAUUGGUGUAUUGCGGGUAUAAAGUGCAUUUGCAUGUGUAUAAUUGUGUCAAUUUUUAUUUAUCUUUUCGGUCGAAAAUAACUGAGUGAUUAAUUUGUUCAAGACAUCACAACACAAGAACUUCAAAUUCGCACCGAGAAUUACACCACAAUUGGAUUUAAUCACAUUGAAAGAGAUUUAGCAAAUUCGAUUCAUCUUCACACGCUCUUGCACGUAUAUCCAAACAUAAUAAAUAAAGUGUGAAAUGCCGAUUUAGUUCCUGAAUUAUCACCUCAAUGAAAAUUAGGCCCUGAAUUAUUUUUCAGAAAAAUAAGUCCCUACAUUCAUUAAAAAAUGCUAAUUACAUCCCUACUAUUAUAUUCAAAAGUUAUUUUAUUCAAUUUUUCAUCAACUUAAGUCGCUUGACACAGUUUAGAGUGAAUAGCGUCCUUUUCUCAACCAUAAGCCCUUAACAUUUCAUAUAUGUUGCAAAUCUAACAUUUAAUUUACCCUCCAAAGUCAAAUCCAUGGAAAAUUACUAAUCUACUCUCCAAUAUGUAUCACAUGUAAGUAACAUGACAUAAAUUGACGGAAAAUUUAAUUAGUGGCUUCGAAUCUAAUAUUAGGGAUGUAAUUGACAAAUUUUUAUAAUUCAAGAACUAAUUUUUCUGAAAAAAAAUAGUUUUGGAACCUAAUUUUCACUCAUGUGGUAAUUCAGGGAUUAAAUUAGGCUAAGGGAGUAUGCAAGAUACCCUUGCUUAGGCCAAAGCCAGAACACUCUUGGUCUCGAAAAAUCCGGCAAGCCGGUUAGGCGAGGAGUAAUGGAAGUGGGAAUUGAAUCUGGUGUAUGUUUCCCUUCGGAAGCUCGUGGAUCUGAGAAAAGUAGUGGUGGGGAUGGAUUGUGAGCUAGUUAGGUAAAGGAAGGAGGUGGGGAAUGGUGGUUGUUUGGGGUUGAAGAACAUCGGAUGGAAGAUAGAGCAGGUAGAAAAAGAAAACAGAGGAUAAAGUAGCAAAAACGGCGUUGUAGACAUGCAAAUUUCGGUGAAAAUAAAUGUUUUCUAACGUAUUAAAUUUUGACAUGCAAGGCUUAUGUGGCAUGUAUCAUGCAUGUGUCUCACAAAUUGUACACAUAA
rnacentral:lncRNA from 1 species